GAUGAAGAACGUAGUGAAAUGCGAUACGUAAUGUGAAUUGCAGAAUUCAGUGAAUCAUCGAAUCUUUGAACGCACAUUGCGCCCGCCAGUAUUCUGGCGGGCAUGCCUGUUCGAGCGUCAUUUCAACCAUCAAGCCCCCGGCUUGUGUUGGGGACCCUGCGGCUGCCCUCAGGCCCUGAAAACCAGUGGCGGGCUCGCUGUCACUCCGAGCGUAGUAGCAUAUAUCUCGCUCAGGGCGUGCUGCGGGUUCCGGCCGUUAAAAGCCUUUUUUUUUACCCAAGGUUGACCUCGGAUCAGGUAGGAAGACCCGCUGAACUUAAGCAUAUCAAUAAGCGGAGGA
rnacentral:misc_RNA from 1 species